AGUGAACGCUGGCGGCAGGCCUAACACAUGCAAGUCGAACGGCAGCACAAGAGCGCUUGCUCUCUGGGUGGCGAGUGGCGGACGGGUGAGGAAUGCAUCGGAAUCUGCCCAUUUGUGGGGGAUAACCUCGGGAAACCGGGACUAAUACCGCAUACGACCUACAGGUGAAAGCAGGGGAUCUUCGGACCUUGCGCAGAUGGAUGAGCCGAUGCCGGAUUAGCUAGUUGGAGGGGUAAAGGCCCACCAAGGCGACGAUCCGUAGCUGGUCUGAGAGGAUGAUCAGCCACACUGGGACUGAGACACGGCCCAGACUCCUACGGGAGGCAGCAGUGGGGAAUAUUGGACAAUGGGCGCAAGCCUGAUCCAGCCAUGCCGCGUGUGUGAAGAAGGCCUUCGGGUUGUAAAGCACUUUUGUUGGGAAAGAAAAGCAGCCGGUUAAUACCCGGUUGUCAUGACGGUACCCAAAGAAUAAGCACCGGCUAACUUCGUG
rnacentral:rRNA from 1 species